rnacentral:tRNA from 1 species
GCUAGCUCAAUCGGUAGAGCGUGAGACUCUUAAUCUCAAGGUUGUGGGUUCGACCCGUAAGUUCAAACAUCGCACCAGCA